rnacentral:rRNA from 1 species
CCCUUAGAUGUUCUGGGCGGCCCGCGCACUACACUGGCACUCUCAAUCAGAGCCUGGAUCUAACACUUUGGGGUAUUCUAUGAAGUGGUGUCGUGACUGGGAUUAACCCUUGCAAUUAUUGGUUACGAACGAGGAAUUCCUUGUAAUCGCGGUUUAUCAGCCCGCGUUGAAUGCGUCCCUGCCCUUUGUACACACCGCCCGUCGCUCCUACCGAUGGAUCGUCCGGUGAAGCUCAUGGAGGGGCGGUUGCCUCAGCUGCCGUCGAAGUGAAAUGGACCUCACGAUCUAGAGGAAGGAGAAGUCGUAACA